AUGUACAUAAGCAGCAGCACUGUCACCCCUUUGUCCUGCAUGCCGGGGUGGAGGCAGUAAGUGAAAUCAUGAUCGGCCGGUCAUAAAAAUCAACAGUCUUUGAUGAGUUACAGGUCGUAGGUUGAUCAGGAA